GACGAACGCUGGCGGCGUGCCUAAUACAUGCAAGUAGAACGCUGAAGGAGGAGCUUGCUUCUCUGGAUGAGUUGCGAACGGGUGAGUAACGCGUAGGUAACCUGCCUGGUAGCGGGGGAUAACUAUUGGAAACGAUAGCUAAUACCGCAUAAGAGUAGAUGUUGCAUGACAUUUGCUUAAAAGGUGCAAUUGCAUCACUACCAGUUGGACCUGCGUUGUAUUAGCUAGUUGGUGAGGUAACGGCUCACCAAGGCGACGAUACAUAGCCGACCUGAGAGGGUGAUCGGCCACACUGGGACUGAGACACGGCCCAGACUCCUACGGGAGGCAGCAGUAGGGAAUCUUCGGCAAUGGACGGAAGUCUGACCGAGCAACGCCGCGUGAGUGAAGAAGGUUUUCGGAUCGUAAAGCUCUGUUGUAAGAGAAGAACGAGUGUGAGAGU
rnacentral:rRNA from 1 species